CUCCGUAGGUGAACCUGCGGAGGGAUCAUUACUGAGUGAGGGCCUUCGGGUCCGACCUCCAACCCCAUGUUGUCCGACUCUGUUGCCUCGGGGGCGACCCGGCCGUACGGCCGCGGGCCCCCGGUGGACUACUCAACUCUGCAUCUUAGCGUCUGAGUUUAAUUAUAAAUCAAUUAAAACUUUCAACAACGGAUCUCUUGGUUCUGGCAUCGAUGAAGAACGCAGCGAAAUGCGAUAAGUAAUGUGAAUUGCAGAAUUCAGUGAAUCAUCGAAUCUUUGAACGCACAUUGCGCCCCUUGGUAUUCCGAGGGGCAUGCCUGUUCGAGCGUCAUUACACCAAUCAAGCCUGGCUUGGUAUUGGGCGCCGUGGUUCUUCGGAGCCGCGCGCCCUAAUGUCCUCGGCUGGGCCGUCCGCCUCGAAGCGUUGUGAUAAUACAGAUCGCUUGUGGGUGUGGACGGUCGCGCGCCGUAAAACCUUUUUUCAAGGUUGACCUCGGAUCAGGUAGGGAUACCCGCUGAAC
rnacentral:rRNA from 1 species